UUUUUAGUAUAAAUAUGUUCCACGUAAUAUUUGGGACGUAUUUAUACUAAAA
rnacentral:pre_miRNA from 1 species